GUAUGGUGGGUUUGGUUCUAUUCCCACUACGCCGCGUGUGGAGGCCGAGCCCGGCACAGCCCAGGAAGAGUGGAGAGCGUGGUGUCCUCCCCGGGGCUGGGUUGUGGGCAUCUCGACGGCUCGAGGGAUUCAGGGACGUUUAGUCGGGAGAGGAGGGCAGACCCUCCCAGGGGAGGCGGCUCGCGGGUCCGCGGCCACUACUUGGGAGGCCCAGGGUUCCUGAGCAGAAGGGAAAAUGAGCUUAAACAUGAGGCUUGGAGGAGAAAGAAGGGCUGGGGAGAAAUAUGGUUAUUCAGUCAGUCAGUUCAGUCACUCAGUCGUGUCCAACUCUUUGUGACCCCAUGGACUGCCGCACACCAGGCUUUCCUGUCCAUCACCAACUCUUGGAGCUUGCUCAAACUCAUGUCCAUCGAGUUGCUGAUGCUAUCACUUUAUUGGUUAUUACAAGAUAUUGAAUACAGUUCCCUGUGCCAUGCAGUAAAUCCUUAUUUUUUAAUCUAUUUUAUAUAUAGUUGUGUAUAUCUGCUAAUCCCAAAUUCCUAAUUUAUCCCUCCCCCUUUCUCCCCUUUGGUAAACCAUAAACUUGUUUUCUGUAUCUGUGAGUCUAUUUCUGUUUUGUAUGCAAGUUCAUUUGUAUCAUAUUUUUAGAUUCCACAUGUAAGUGAUAUAAUGUUUGUCUUUGACUUCAUGAAGUAUGAUAAUCUGUAUGUCCAUCUAUGUUGCUGUAAAUGAUGUUAUUUCAUUCUUUUUUAUGGCUGGAUAAUAAUACACAUAUAUAUCACAUCUUCUUUAUCCAUUCAUCUAUUGAUGGACAUCUAGGUUGCUUCCAGCUAUUGGCUAUUGGAAAUCAUGGUGCUAUGAACACAGGGUGCAUGUAUCUUUUUGAAUGAGAGUUUUCAUCUUUUCUGGAUUUACACUGAGGAAUGAGAUUGAUGAAUACUAUGGUAACUCUCUUUUUAGUUUGUAAAGGAACCUCUAUACUGUUCUCCAUAGUGGCUACACUGGUUUACAUUCCCACCAACGUGUAAGAAUGUUUUUUUUUCUCUGUACCCUCUCUAGCACUUGUUAUUUGUACACUUCACGAUGAUGGCCAUUCUGACCAGUGUGAGGUGAUACCUCAUUUUAAUUUGCAUUUCUCUAAUAAUUGGUGAUGUGAAGUAUCAUUUCAUGUGCCUGAUAACCAUCUGUAUGUCUUCUUUGGGUAAAUGUUUAUUUAGGUCUUCUGGUCAUUUUUCUGUUGGGUUGUUUUUGUUUUAGGGUUUUUUUUUUAAAUAUCAAGCUGUAUAAGCUGUUUGUGUUUUUGGAAAUUAAUCCCUCAUCUGUCACAUAAUUUGCAAAUAUUUUCUCCCAUUCCAUAGAUUUUUGUUUUGUAUAUGGUUUCCUUUGCUGUGCAAAAGCUAAGUUUAAUUAGAUCCCAUUCAUUUAUUUUUGCUUUUGUUUUUAUUACUGUAGGCAAUGGGUGCAAAAAAAAUACUACAGCACUUUAUGUCAGAGUGUUCUGCCUAUGAUUUCCUCUAGGGGUUUUAUAAUAUCUGGUCUUACAUUUGGGUCUUUAAUACAUCUUGAGUUUAUUUUUGUAUAUAGUGUUAGAGAAUGUUCUAAUUUAAUUCUUUUACACAUAGCUGUCUAGUUCUCCCAACGCGACUUAUUGAAGACAGAAUCUUUUCUGCAUUGUGUGUUCUUGCCUUCUUUGUCAUAGGUUAAUUGACUGUAAAUGUAUGGGUUUAUUUCUGAGCUUUCUUUUUUUUUAAUUAAUUUUAAUUGGAAUAUAGUUGCUUUACAAUGUUGUGUUAGUUUCUGAAAAGUGAAAGUGUUAGUUGCCCAGUUGUGUCCGACUCUUUGCAACCCCAUGGUCUGUAGCUUGCCAGGCUCCUC
ensembl:lncRNA